rnacentral:rRNA from 1 species
ACAUAAAAGUGGAGGCUAUUGUAACUGAAGAGAACUGGAAAGUUCCACCGUAGAAGGUAAUAGUCCUGUAAGUGAAACGAGAAGACCACGAGUUAUGAUCCAGAGUACCACGAGACACGUGAAACCUUGUGGGAAGCAGGGAGGACCACCUCCCAAGGCUAAAUACUACCUGAUGACCGAUAGUGAAGCAGUACCGUGAGGGAAAGGUGAAAAGAACCCCGGGAGGGGAGUGAAAUAGAACCUGAGACCGUGUGCCUACAACCGCUCAGAGCCCCUUAUGAGGGUGAUGAGGUGCUUUUUGUAGAACGAGCCAACGAGUUACGGUAUGUAGCAAGGUUAAGUACUUAAGGUACGGAGCCGAAGGGAAACCGAGUCUGAAUAGGGCGACUAGUUGCAUGCCGUAGACCCGACACCGGGUGACCUAUCCAUGGCCAGGUUGAAGCGAGGGUAAAACCUCGUGGAGGACCGAACCACGUUGCUGUUGAAAAAGCAUGGGAUGAGCUGUGGAUAGCGGAGAAAUUCCAAUCGAACCCGGAGAUAGCUGGUUCUCUCCGAAAUAGCUUUAGGGCUAGCGUCGAGUAUGAGUAGUGGAGGUAGAGCACUGAAUGGGCUAGGGG